rnacentral:misc_RNA from 1 species
AUAGGAUGUAAGAUCAGGCUUGUAAUCAGUCUCAUCUGCACCAGUAUUUGCACCACUAUAGAACCCGAAAUUUGUUCCACCAUGUGCCAUGUAGAGCACAGCUGAUCCAUUUUUUGACAAGAUCCUUUCUAAGUAAGAUGCUGUAACAGUUGCAUCAGUAUUUGCAAUAUGCUCUCCCCAGUGCGUGAGCCAACCAGUGUAGAACUCCGUUGAAAGCGGUGGUGAUUUCCCUGGUGCAUUGAACUCUUUCUGCAACUUAAAAUUGGGCCAUGGAUCAUCUCCCGUUGAAAAAUCAACAGCUGAAAAGACAGAAUCUCCAGGAAUAGUCCCUUUGUUAAGAUUUUCUCUUGAACCUCCAUCGGUCGUAUAUAGAGUAACAUCAUCUCCAAGGUGUCCACGGGCUAUCCUCACUAAGUGAUGCAGGUAGUCCUUGUCAUCUCCGUAUGAACCAAAUUCAUUUUCUAUCUGAACCAUUAUAAUAGGGCCGCCAUUUUUGUAAGCAUAAGAGACUAUCUUCGGCAGCAAAAUUCCCCACCAUCUUUCAACCAAAUUAAUGAAAGCAGGAUCUGAUGAUCUAAGUCUUACAGCAGGUUCAAUGGUAAGUAACCAAGCAGGGAAACCCCCAAAAUCCCACUCUCUGGAAGAACCCGAAAAUAGUG